rnacentral:rRNA from 1 species
AUACGUAGGGGACGAGCGUUGUCCGGAAUUACUGGGCGUAGAGGGCGCGCAGGCUGUGCUGCAAGUCAGCUGUUAAAUGUCUGGGCUUAACCCGGGCAUGCGGUUGAGACUGCAGUGCUGGAGUGCUGUAGAGGCAAGUGGAAUUCCCAGUGUAGCGGUGAAAUGCGUAGAUAUUGGGAAGAACACCGGUGGCGAAGGCGACUUGCUGGGCAGCAACUGACGCUGAGGCGCGAAAGCCAGGGGAGCAAACGGGAUUAGAUACCCCGGUAGUCCUGGCCGUAAACGAUGAAUGCUAGGUGUGGGUGUAGAGAUACAUUCGUGCCGGAGUUAACGCGAUAAGCAUUCCGCCUGGGGAGUACGGUCGCAAGAUUGAA